ACCCCAUGAUAUUAAGCCGGCAGCUUGGAUCAUUUCCUUGUCCAAGGAUGUGACUAUGACUGGGAACAUCAAUUUCUGGUGUGUGUAUGCUGGGUGUGUUCUCUUCGACAUUCCAGCAAAGAAAAACACGGAGACA